GGGAAACCGUCCACUCCGUUACGCACGUAAAGCCUAAAAUAUAGGAUAGAAUGUGUGACGUCCGUCACACUAUGUGUUACGGUCGUAACACUAGGUUUUAGGACGUGGCGGUCGGCACGUGCUUGUUGCGGUCGUGACAGCAAGUUUCUUUGUUCCAAGCGUGGGCUGGGCUUUGGUGCUUCAGCUUGCUGCUUUUCCUAGAAAAU
rnacentral:lncRNA from 1 species